rnacentral:lncRNA from 1 species
AUGGUGGCAAUGCCAAGUGGGAGCAGGGAGUGACAGGGAAUGGCUAAGCCUGUGGCCAGGGGCACUGCAGGCAAGGAAAAGCCAGCAUUGCUUCAGGGCUAACAAAUGUGCCCAGCUGAUGUGUGUACACUGCAAUUCCCAAGCACGGGCCACAGCGUGCCAACUCAGUCUUUUAUUAAUCUCAGCUAAUAGAGAACUGAUUGGGGUAUAAACAGUGUUUUGUAUGUGGAACUAGGCUCAAGCUCUUUGAAUAAGCUCUGAACAAAUGGACUUAGCCCUGUGCAGUUAACCCUCCCCACAGCCAUGAGCACAGGAGGUGUGCUGGGAGUAACCCGUAGGCAGACAGAACAUACACCUGGAAAGCUGCCUUGCUCCAGCAAAAGCAGCUUUGGAUGUAGUGAUCCUGCUACAGAGCCAGUUACAUUACAUAGAAUAGGCUGAUUUCAGUUGCACAAUGGAUUUAGACCUAAUAUAGAAGAAACCCACAGAAAUAGUUCUGUGCAAUUUCAGACUAAUAAAAGCGGGGAUUAAAGCCCACAUCCCAAGGGAGCAGUCACAAUAUGCCAGCCUGCUUUCCCCUCGAACCCUUCAACUCAGACUUUUCUCUUUCAGGUUCCUACUUUGUGACUCUCAGCAAACUCUUGGAUACAAGACUUUUUCUCACAAGAAAAAGUGUAACUGGAAAGACAUGCAGACAGCUCAGUCCAGCAGGCUUGUGAAAAGAACUCUUCGGACAUUGUACACACAAAAGAUCUCAACUGGAGUCAAGAUGAUGACCUUCAGAAAUAGACUGACCCAUUAGUUUGUCAAAAGAUUGACAGUUGGCCAAGGGAAACAUCAAAAGUUAGCAGACACAGAAUCACUCACAGUGCAUUGUAUUCAAUUCAGAACAUUACAUCGGAGAGGAAAAAAACAAAAACAGUACCAAAUAUGAAAGCUGGGAUGCAUGCCGACCAUUGCUUCUCACAGCAUUUGAAAAGCCUAGAUGUUCCUACAACUGUCAAUCACGUUCCUGGCAAGGUCUGAUUUUUU